UACGGGGGGGGCAAGCGUUGUUCGGAAUUACUGGGCGUAAAGGGCUCGUAGGCGGCCAACUAAGUCAGACGUGAAAUCCCCAGGCUCAACCUGGGAACUGCGUCUGAUACUGGAUGACUUGAAUUCGGGAGAGGGAUGCAGAAUUCCAGGUGUAGCGGUGGAAUGCGCAGAUAUCAGGAGGAACACCUAUAGCGAAGGCAGCUCGCUGGUACGACACUGACGCUAAGGCGCGAAAGCGUGGGGAGCGAACAGG
rnacentral:rRNA from 1 species